GGCUGUUGGCAUGCUUUCGGAUGCCUUUAAACGGGUGUCGGGGGCGGACGGCAUCUUUACUUUGAACAAAUUUGAGUGCUCAAAGCAGGCCUAAGCGCCUGAAAAUUCUUGCAUGGAAUAAUGAAAUAGGACUUCGGUUCUAUUUUGUUGGUUUUCGGAUCCGAAGUAAUGGUUAAGAGGGACAGACGGGGGCAUUUGUAUGGCGGUGUUAGAGGUGAAAUUCUGGGAUCGCCGCCAGACAAACUACAGCGAAAGCAUUUGCCAAGAAUGUUUUCAUUGAUCAGGAGCGAAAGUCAGAGUUUCGAAGACGAUCAGAUACCGUCGUAGUUCUGACCAUAAACGAUGCCAACUGACGAUCCGCGUUGGUUCUAUAAUUGACAUCGCGGGCAGUCCCCGGGAAACCUUUAAGUCUAUGGGCUCCGGGGGGAGUAUGGUUGCAAAGCUGAAACUUAAAGGAAUUGACGGAAGGGCACCACCAGGAGUGGAGCCUGCGGUUUAAUUCGACUCAACACGGGAAAACUCACCCGGCCCGGACACUGUGAGGAUUGACAGAUUGAAAGCUCUUUCUUGAUUCGGUGGUUGGUGGUGCAUGGCCGUUCUUAGUUGGUGGAGCGAUUUGUCUGGUUAAUUCCGAUAACGAACGAGACUUUAACCUGCUAAAUAGUAGAUUGGUCCUCUGUGCUCGUUCAGGGCGCGGCUUCUAUUGCUUCUUUAUGGAGUAGUGUGGUCGUGAUCC
rnacentral:rRNA from 1 species